rnacentral:misc_RNA from 1 species
AGUAGAUCAGAGGCGGAAUCAUUCGAGUCAUUGCCGUAUUGCAUCAUCUGUAAAUCGAGUUGGUGGUGCAGCGUCGAUAUGGCAUGCGAUACUUCCUGCUGGGAGGAGGAAUAAGAAGGAUAUAAAUCGGAGGAAUAAUACGGUGUUUAAACAUCAUUAUGAGCUUGCUAAGAAAGGUGAAGGUUCGUGGAAUGUCAAUUGGGAUUCUAGGCCGGCGAGAUGGUUACAUAAUCCUGAUUCUGCUUGGUUGUUGUUUGGAGUUUGUUCAUGUUUAGCUGCGCCAUCUCUUGAUCUAUUACCAGAUGCUAAUUCUGAUGUAGCUGUACCGAUUGAUAAACAGUCUGCUGUAAAUUCUUCAGAUGAGGAUGAUCAAAACUCUGCCAACUAUAGAGUCACUGGGGUUCCAGCGGAUGGGAGAUGUCUAUUUAGAGCGAUAGCACAUAUGGCUUGUUUGAGAAAUGGGGAGGAAGCUCCGGAUGAAAAUCGACAGAGAGAACUUGCUGAUGAAUUAAGAGCUCAGGUGGUUGACGAGCUGUUAAAGAGGCGAAAAGAAGCUGAAUGGUUUAUUGAAGGGGAUUUUGAUGCGUACGUAGAAAGAAUUGAAAAGCCAUAUGUGUGGGGAGGAGAACCAGAGCUACUAAUGGCUUCUCAUGUUCUCAAGUCUGCGAUUUCUGUCUAUAUGGUAGAUAGAAGCUCUGGAAGUUUAAUAAACAUAUCAAAUUAUGGAGAAGAAUAUAGGAAGGAGGGAGAGAGUCCGAUUAACGUAUUGUUUCAUGGUUAUGGUCACUAUGACAUUUUGGAGACAAUUCCAGAGAAGAUUCACCAAAAGUUAGAAGAAUAAAUGUAGGGUAUGAUGCCCUUAGAGACGUAGUCUUGGUUUUAAAUUUUCAUAAAAGGUAGUUCGCAACGACGAUCAAAUUGAUAAGAAGUUCAGCUAUCCAGUUAACAAAACAUCUUCUUUCAGGUCCAGUCAAUUUGUUGAGAUGAUCUUUUCUCUAAAAUAGUGAGCUUGUUUCAAUUUUGUAGAUUCUCUGUUGCCUUGUUCAGGAAAUUAGUCGAAGCAAAUAGCAUGAUUCCUCCGUAUUUGUUUAUUACCAGAUAAUUCUGGAUGUAGUUUUGUUCAGAUGUUUCCAGGUUUGUUUUUU